CCAGACCCAGAAUUUUUUAUGGGUCUGGUCUGGGUCCAGACAUUUUCCUUCUGGACUCGGACCCAGCCCAAACCCGGGCCAACUUCAUGGAUCUGGGUCUGGGUCCAAGCUAGCCAGUCCAAACCCAACCUAUUUACAUCCAUAGUCAUCAACAACAAAUUAAGGAAAUAUAAAAAAUAGGAAAUACAACAUAAUUAAGAAAUAAAAAAACAACAAUAAUUUAUAUAGAUGUUGAUAUUUAAUUGGAUUUAGGGAUCCGAUUAAAGUAAUCAGCCUGCCAUCCGGGUGUCUUCUUUAGGCGAAUCGAGCGAGCUUCAAUUUGGGCAUCGGUAAACUCUUCAACUGGUUUUCCGAUCAGCUCCUCCUCCUUCGACGCGUCUAACACUUCAAUCGCAACCUCCAGGUCUUUCAAUAUGUUGGCGAGAUCGACUUCAACUGUAACAUGGUCGCUUUCCCUCAAGCUUCGCCUUGUCCUCAAGGUGAAUUGAAGGAAAAAGCUUCUUUAGCUCGACGUCGUCCUCCCAUGAAGUAUCCUCCAUUAAUGCACCGCUCCACUGAACGAGUGAUUGAGGUACCUUCCUUCCUUGUCGAUAAAUUACCCUGAAAUCAAUCAAAGAAAUUGGGAAUAAUAAUGGUUCGUUUCUUAUAACAAGUAGGGGAGAUGAUUCUAUCUUGACGGGUGGUGGACUAAUGAAGGGCUUCAAUUGAGAGACAUGAAACCUAUCUAUUAGUUAUAAACAAGUAUUACUUUCAUAUAACUAAAUAUAUAUUAGUUUGGAUGAUUACGAUCAAAUUUAUAUAAUCUGAAUGAUUUAUGGAUAUUAUUUUAAUUCUGGCUUUUGUCUUGUUGUGUAAUGAAUGUCUUUAACAGAGAAUAUAUCAGCCCAAGAUUGAAGUCCAUGAUCAAUGUCAUGCAAUUCCUUGAGGAUUUUUUUAGUAAUUCCAGAAUUCCUUGGAAUGAAGUACCUCCCUUUGAACAUCAAAAAAUCUCUCCUUAUUUCAAAAUCGUAAGCCCCAUUAAUGUGUCCAUUCUGAAUUUUCUUAGACAGAUCAAAAAUCUCUUGGGAAAUAAGAUUUUCUUACCUUAGUUCCUCAAUAACUAGGUUGAUUGGGCCAGAUAGAGCUAUCAUUGAUCCUUGGGCUGCAUCUGCACAGUUUUCUCUAGAUAAUCUCUUCUUCUCCUUCUUCAAAACAUAUGGAGAAAGCGUCAACUGCUAAAUUAUCCUUUCUAGGUUUGUAUACAGCAGUAAAAUUAUAGCCUAAUAAUUUGCAUAGAAAUAUUUGUUGCUCAGGAGUCUGAAUGACUUGAGUGAGUAUGUUUUCGAGGCUUCUAUGAUAUGUUUUUAUGAUAAAAUAUCUUCCGAACAGAUAAUGCCUCCACUUAGCUACAACUUGAGUGAUGGCAAACAUCUCUUUGAAGUAAACUGUGGCUGCAGAAAUUCUACCACUAAUUUUGCUACUGCAGAAAGCAAUAGGGUGGCUCUCAUGUUAUAAUACUACCCCAAUACCAGAGUUGCAUGCAUCAAUUUCGAUAAUAAACUCCUUGUUAAAGUCUGGAAAUUUCAGAACAAGUGCUUCAAUCAUGACUUUCUUCAAUCUUUCAAAACUAGCAGAAGCAUCCUCAUACCAUAUAUAAUGAGUCUUUUUUCAAAAGAUUUAUCAUGGAGGAUGCUAUUUGAGCAUAACCUUUGAUUGUGCAUAGAUUCUCGUGUCCGUAUAGCCAUCAGCAAAUGGGCUCAGUAGAACGACGUCACAGACAUUUAAUUGAUAUUGUUAUUACACUUCUGCAUUAGGCAUCAAUACUGUCUGAAUACUAGGAUAUGCUCUUAUGACUGCCGCUCACAUUUAUAAUCGUAAUCCUUCCAAUAGUAUUGGAGGAAUUUCUCCGAUUGAAGCAUUAUUUGGAGUCAAACCGGACUAUUCUAAAUUGAGGUUUUUGGCUCCAAGUGUUUUCCUUGUUUGAGGGCCUAUAGAAAAUCAAAACUGGACUUGAAAUCAAACCCGUGUAUUUUUAUGGGUUAUCCGGUGAAGUCCGAGGGUUACUUGUGUAGAAAUCCAAUCUCGGGUGUAACUCAUAUUUCCAGAAAUGUCAAGUUCGUCGAAGAGGAUUUCUCUCUAAGUAAAUUACUUCAUGAGGAUGAUAUUGUGCCUCGUUUUGUAAGUAAUGGGCCCAAAACGGAUUAUGAGAAAACCCUUGACAUCAUUAGUCAUAACUCAGCUCAAAUUAUUCCUGAUGAGUCUCUAAGGGUUCAUGACGCUGAUGAGGUCGAGGAAAAUACGAGGCUUAAUGACAGAGUCGAGAUUUUGGAUCCAAUCGACAAUGGUGAUGGUUCAUUAUUGGAUGCUGAGGAGAAUGCUUCACCAUAGCCACUUCUGCCAGAGGCAUUAGAACCAUCUUCUGUUGAUACGUCCAAUUCAGGGUCAGAGAUGGGAGAUGAGGUUGUUGUUUCUACUGUGCAUGCUGUUAGAUCUAAAUCUGGAAUUUUUAAACCUAAUCCUAAAUAUGCUUUCGUGGUUUCUCCUAAUGAUAUUAUUAUUCUCAUAUCACCGAAGGAAACCUUGUUAAUUCCAGAAUGGAAGGCUGCGAUGGUUGAGGAAUUUGAGGCUCUCAAGAAGAAUGAUACCUGGAUGUUGGUUCCACAAGGUAAGGAUGAUCAUAUUAUAUAUCCAAUCUGGAUUUUUAAAAUUAAACACAGAGAGGAUGGUAUGGUAGAAAGUUUGAAAGCUCGACUUGUUGCAAAUGGGUUGACACAGAUUAAAGGGUGUGAGUACAACGAAACAUUUAGUCCGGUGGUCAAAGCUGUCUCAAUAAAGUUGGUUCUCACUAUUGCCAUUUCCAAAGGUUGGAACAUAAUUCAACUAGAUAUCUCAAAUGCUUUUCUAUAUGGUGACAUUGAAGAAAAGGUAAUUAUUUCACAACCAGUGGGAUUCGUGGAUACAAAUUUUCUUAAUCAUGGUUUGUCGUCUCAACAAGGCACUUUAUGGGCUUAAGCAAGCUCCUCGGAUGUGGUUCAAGCGUUUUACGACAUUUCUGAUUUCAGUUGGCUUCACUCAAAGGUGGUUAGAUCCCUCAUUAUUUAUUCUUUUACAAUCGACCCCAACUAGUCAUGUUAUCUACUUAUUUGUCUAUGUAGAUGAUAUGGUGAUUUCAGGUUCAGAUAGUUCGAUGGUGGAGAAUAUGAUCACAAAGCUGAGUGGAAAAUUUGCAGUUCGUUGCCUUGGUCAUUUAUCGUUUUUCUUGGGUAUUCAAGUAAGAACGGUCAAAGAAGGUCUUCAUGUUAGUCAAACUCAGUACUUGGUGAAUUUGCUUAAGGGGUGUAAUCUUGAUAAUCGAUCUCAAACCAGCAACAUCGCCUAUGGUAACUAAUCAAGAUCUACACUCAGAUGAGGCCCCUAUUCAAGACGUAAAGGAAUAUUGGAGGAUCAUUGGGUCCUUGCAAUAUCUGACCUUGACUCGUCCGAAUAUUCAAUUCUGUGAAUAAACUGUCACAAUAUAUGUCGUCGCCCAAACCACUUCAUCUUAUUGCACUCAAGAGAGUUCUUCGGUAUCUUUCCAGCUCACAAAAUUAUUUUAGCAUUGCAGGUUUUUGCGACGCAGAUUGGACUGCUAAUACCGAUGAUCAAAAAAGUCAGACCGGGUAUCUGAUUUUUGUAGGCGGGAGUUUAGUAACUUGGAGUUCACGUAAACAAGGUAUCGUUGCUCGAUCAAACACGGAAUCUGAAUAUUAUGCUAUCGCCACAACAAUUCAGGAGCUCGAAUGGGUGAAGAAUCUCCUUGUUGAACUUGGAAUAGAGGUGAAAUCACCAAUGAGGUUGUGGUCUGAUAAUAGAGGUGCAACAUUAUUAGCUACUAAUUCGGCAUGUCAUACGAAGCUUAAGCAUGUGGCUAUGGAUCUCAGUUAUGUAAGAGAAAGAGUUGAGCAAGGUUCGGUGUUAGUUUCGCACAUACUUGGUAAAGAACAAUUAGCAGAUAUUCUUACCAAGGCUUUAAAUCCGAAAUCAUUCUAGGAACAAAAACACAAUCUGGUCAAAGAAUUCUCUCCAGAUUGAGGGGGUGUGUUGUUAUUAUAGUAAGCGUUACGAUUCUGAUUUAUUAUUGUCAUUAUGUUAAACGUUACGAUUCUGAUUUAUUGUUGUAAUUAUGUUAAACGUUACGAUUCUGAUUUAUUAUUGUAAUUAUGUUAAACGUUACGAUUUUGAUUUAUAAAUAUCAAAUUGGACUCUGUGGUACACGGUCCUUGACAAACAUUUCUUGUGUUCAUUUGCUCUUCUUAGUUCACUCUUCUUCGUUUACUCAAUAAGGCUGGUAAUGGAAGCUCAAGAAAUCAAUCACAAUCUAAGACUACAAGC
rnacentral:lncRNA from 1 species